rnacentral:ribozyme from 14 species
AUAGAAGAGAACAGAAUCAAAGAGAGAUCUUGAGGAAUGAAUCUUGCUCAGUAUUCGAUUUAUAUGUAUUCACACAAUUUUCUUUCUUUCUUUCUUUCUACCUUUUUCCUCUUU